GACGAACGCUGGCGGCGUGCUUAACACAUGCAAGUCGAACGGAAAGGCCCUGCUUUUGUGGGGUGCUCGAGUGGCGAACGGGUGAGUAACACGUGAGUAACCUGCCCUUGACUUUGGGAUAACUUCAGGAAACUGGGGCUAAUACCGGAUAGGAGCUCCUGCUGCAUGGUGGGGGUUGGAAAGUUUCGGCGGUUGGGGAUGGACUCGCGGCUUAUCAGCUUGUUGGUGGGGUAGUGGCUUACCAAGGCUUUGACGAGUAGCCGGCCUGAGAGGGUGACCGGCCACACUGGGACUGAGAUACGGCCCAGACUCCUACGGGAGGCAGCAGUGGGGAAUAUUGCACAAUGGGCGGAAGCCUGAUGCAGCAACGCCGCGUGCGGGAUGACGGCCUUCGGGUUGUAAACCGCUUUCGCCUGUGACGAAGCGUGAGUGACGGUAAUGGGUAAAGAAGCACCGGCUAACUACGUG
rnacentral:rRNA from 1 species